GUUCGUUCGUUCGUCCGUCUGUCCCGCUUCAGGUUAAAGUUUUUGGUCGAGGUAGUUUUUGAUGAAGUUGAAGUCUAAACAACUUGAAACUUAGUAUAUAUGUUCUGUAUGAUAUGAUCUUUCUAAUUUUAAUUCCAAAUUAGAGAUUUAACCCCAUUUUCAUGGUCCACUGAACAUAGAAAAUGAUAGUGCGGAUGGGGCAUCCAUGUACUGGGGACACAUUCUUGUUUACUCAU
rnacentral:lncRNA from 1 species